CUGUUUCAUCUUUCUCACUCUCUCACUCUGUCACAAAGGUGCUGGCUACAGGUUGAUUACGGAUUCAACUGGAGCUUUCUUGGACCCAUGUGCUUCAUUCUCACAGGGAACAUCAUCCUCUUCAUCGCUAUCCUGAUUAAUGUCCAUCUCACUCUGAAAGAGGCUCGCAGAAAUAUCUCCAAGCUCAAAUACACCAGGCUGCUUCUGUUUAAAAUCAUGGCCCAGUUCAUCAUCCUCGGUUGCCCCUGGAUACUGGGCAUGUUCCUCUCCAGCAGCAGG